UUGAACCAUUGAUUGGUUUAGAUCAAAGGCUUAGAAUCAUUCUUCUCCCUAUCCACAUCCUUUGUUUCUAUUGGUUAGACUUAUUUAUGGCAUGGAUCACCAAUUUACACCCUUGGAUGAUAUUGAAUCAACGCUUGAGAUUAAUUAUUUUUUUCUUUUUUUUUAAUUUCUCAGAUCUGUUCAGAUCUCGUCGAGUCCUAGAGAAUCGAGAGAGAGAGAGAGAUGAGAUAGAGCGAUAGAGAUGGUCGACUGAAGCCUCACGACCACCCUCUUUUUGACACCGUCACCACCACCACCAGCACCAUUACCACCAGCACCAUCGUCGGUGCCUUCUCAGAUUUUUAUUUCUAGAGACAGAGACAGAGAGAAAAGUGGAGACGACGAUUGUUUUCCAUUCUAUACUCUCUCCAUUGUCAUUUGUCUAGAGAAUCUGUAACACCGGUCUUUGUCUUCACCGGAAUCGCCAAAACCACCGCUCGUCGCCACCACCACCGGUCACCUCUAUCUCUCGAACUCUUUGUCUUUCACUCUUUCUCUGUGUGUUUUAAUUUGAUUUUUGUUGUUCAAUAGAAGAUCCGGAGGCGAAGAGGAGGUCGGAGAGAAGACAGAGCUAGAAGCUGGAGAAGACAGAACAUGGAGGCGGCUGGAGUCUUUCUUUUUUUUUAGUUAGUUUUUUUAGGUUUAGGUUUUUUUAAUCUGGUUUAGUGUAAACCAAGAUAGGGAAAUUGUAGUGGUUUGAUUUUAUUUUUAAUUUCUGGUUUAGUUUUGUAAACCAGAACAUAUUUGUAAAUCAAUUUUAAUUAUAAAUAAAAUUUAUUUAUUUUCAA